UACAGAGGUCUCAAGCGUUGUUCGGAAUCACUGGGCGUAAAGGGUGCGUAGGCGGUCGGGUAAGUCUGAUGUGAAAUCUCACAGCUUAACUGUGAAACUGCAUUGGAUACUAUCCGGCUUGAGGAAUGGAGGGGAGACUGGAAUACUUGGUGUAGCAGUGAAAUGCGUAGAUAUCAAGUGGAACACCAGUGGCGAAGGCGAGUCUCUGGACAUUUCCUGACGCUGAGGCACGAAAGCCAGGGGAGCAAACGGG
rnacentral:rRNA from 1 species